UUUAUCCUAAAUGCCAACACUCUCCGGUUUUCCAGUCACGUGUGAAGUGUUCAUUAGAGGUCACGUUAGGUGAGCGUUGAGGAAUACGAACAGUCCGUGAAGCUCGGAUCAUCAGACUUUAAAGUGUUAAUCCAGAAGCAGCGUCACCACAGAUUCUUCUUCAGGGAGUCUGCUGCUGUGGAGAGCUUAGGAAAUGCUGAACUCGUUGGCGGCUCAGUUUCAGUGGUCUUUUACCUGCAAGGCAAUUCCUGGUUAUACAUACAGCAUCUCUGUGGCGGCAGGCAUGGUCAGGCAGUGCUGUACCCAGAAUAGAGAGUGGCUGGAUGGAGGUGGGUCAUGUUCAGCACAAAACAGAGGAAAACGGACUUAAAUGGAGUGAAACGGG